rnacentral:rRNA from 1 species
UACAGAGGGGGCAAGCGUUGUUCGGAAUUACUGGGCGUAAAGCGCACGUAGGCGGAUUUGUAAGUCAGGGGUGAAAUCCCGGGGCUCAACCUCGGAACUGUCUUUGAUACUGCAAAUCUCGAGUCCGGAAGAGGUGAGUGGAAUUCCUAGUGUAGAGGUGAAAUUCGUAGAUAUUAGGAAGAACACCAGUGGCGAAGGCGGCUCACUGGUCCGGUACUGACGCUGAGGUGCGAAAGCGUGGGGAGCAAACAGG